GCUCCCAACGAGCCGUGAGUAAACUGAGGAUUUCCCGGCUGAAAGGACUCAGUGUCUGCCUGUCCCCGGCCCAGAAAUGAAAGCGAGUUUCAGCCGAUCCUCAUUGUGGAGCCUGCUGAAAAAGCAGCCCGGGUCGCCCCGGCCAGCCCCGGCGUCCUGAAUCGGAGCCCUGUGCGCGCCAGGCCGGGCCGCGCGCCCGGGUUGCAGGAUGGCGUGCCCAGGCCAGCCCAUCUGCGGCCGCGGGCCGGCGGGGAGGAAGCGUCCCUGGGGAUGAAUGGGGCUUUGUUCGUAGGCAGCCGCGGCUACCCUCUGCAGGCCCGGCCCGCACAACAGAGGCUGUAUGCGACAGGAAUGGAAAUGAGCCUCAGGCCCUGCCCAAGGAGCCCCAUCCCCUUCCCCGCGCAGGGCUGAGGAAUGCUGGCCAGCCGGAAAGGAACCCUCGCUGGGAACGCUGCUCUCGCGCCUCUGAAACCCCAUUGAGAAGAACCCUUUGAUGCAAUUAAAGCGUAUUUCAUUGCAGGCCUGGGAGGAGGGAACGACCGGCAAGCUUUUUUCUGUCUCGGACGUGUGUGUGCACCUUUGUGGGCCGGGUUACUUAGAGACCAGGCAGGAACUUGAGCUCCCUCUCUCGCAGACGUUCCGUAACAUCAGAAAAGCGUACCCAUAAACAGAUUGGUUUUCACCAGGGGUGGGACCCAAUUUGGACACGAUCCAGGCUGACCUGCAGGCCGGGGUUCCUACUUUGAAAGGCUCUUUGGUGCGCCGUACACCCACCUUCCCUGCUGUAAAGGUUUAGGCGGAAAAGAAAUUGCGUUUGCAGGAGGAAGUUGUUUCUGAGGUUACCGCUCAGCAUUUUCCAUUUUCUCAGUGGUGGGGUGGGCUGUGUCGCAUAUCCAGAAGUGAUGUCACAGCCAGACCUGCAAAGUGAUGUAACCUGCAAGUGUUGAAGGACGACGAGGGCACAGCUAUUUUGAUACUCGUAUUAUUUUAUGACAUUUCCCUACUUUUUCCAUUGAGACAACUGUGUGACCUCAGAAAAUCUACAUAGCCUCUCUGAGCUUAAUAUUUGUUGUAUGUUGAAGUGAAUAUCACAAAGCCAGAGAACGAAUGUCAUGAAGUUCUGGGUGCUUGUGGAAUUCUUUCGAAGUUGGAGGUGGACACUUUAUAUACCUGCACACGUGGAAGGUAUGUGGGACUAGAACUCCAGGUACGCCUCCUUGAGAACGUGAACCUUUAAACAACCACAGCAACAAAACAACAACAAACGAAGACGGAGUCCCGCACGCUCUCCCAGGCUAGAGUGUAGUGUGCAAUCGCAGCCUACAGUAUCCUGGCCUCAAGCUAUCCUGCCGCCCCACCUUGGCCUCCUGAAGGGCUCCAAUUACAGGAGGGAGCCACUGCACCCAGCCAAACCUGUCUUUUUUUCUGUAUCUCCUGUGCCCAGAGCAGUCCCUGGCCCUGAUAAGGGUUCAACAAAUAUGUCGAAUGAAUGACCGAAUACAUUCAGGAGUGUAGGGAUUGAUA